UUCCAGGUCCUAAUAAGGACCAUUAACUGUGUAUGAAAGGUUUUAU
rfam:Chlorocebus sabaeus isolate 1994-021 chromosome 9, whole genome shotgun sequence.